rnacentral:rRNA from 1 species
UACGAAGGGGGCUAGCGUUGCUCGGAAUCACUGGGCGUAAAGGGUGCGUAGGCGGGUCUUUAAGUCAGGGGUGAAAUCCUGGAGCUCAACUCCAGAACUGCCUUUGAUACUGGCAAUCUUGAGUCCGGGAGAGGUGAGUGGAACUCCUAGUGUAGAGGUGAAAUUCGUAGAUAUUAGGAAGAACACCAGUGGCGAAGGCGGCUCACUGGCCCGGUACUGACGCUGAUGUGCGAAAGCGUGGGGAGCAAACAGG